rnacentral:rRNA from 1 species
GUUAAAAAGCUCGUAGUUGGAUUUGUGGUGGGCCCGGUGGCUCGGCCUUAGUUGGCCGUUGCUGUUUUGGGUCCGCCAUCCUUGGGUGGAAUCAGUGUGGCAUUAAGUUGUCGCGCUGGGGAUGCCCAUCGUUUACUGUGAAAAAAUUAGAGUGUUCAAAGCAGGCUUACGCCGUUGAAUACAUUAGCAUGGAAUAAUAAGAUAGGACCUUGGUCUAUUUUGUUGGUUAGUACUCCAAGGUAAUGAUUAAUAGGGACAGU